rnacentral:other from 1 species
UGUCCCCUGCAGUGUUCGUGAGGAGAGCAUUCCUCCUGAGCCGAUAUUUCUUGAACCAAGGGCGUUUGCUCUGAUUGUGGAGUGUAGGCUACUGUUAGUCAGUUUACCGGAAGCAGUUAUUUCACGUGCCCACCUUAAACAAGGGGUUCAGAGGUCGUAAUCCAACGGCACAGGCGGGGGAUUU